rnacentral:rRNA from 1 species
CACGUAGGGGGCUAGCGUUGUCCGGAAUCAUUGGGCGUAAAGCGCGCGUAGGCUGUCAGUUAAGUCUGGUGUGAAAGUCAAAGGCUCAACCUUUGAAUGCCGCUGGAAACUGGCUGACUUGAGUCCGGAAGGGGCGAGUGGAAUUCCUGGUGUAGCGGUGAAAUGCGCAGAUAUCAGGAGGAACACCAAUGGCGAAGGCAGCUCGCCGGAACGGUACUGACGCUGAGGCGCGAAAGCGUGGGGAGCGAACAGG